rnacentral:rRNA from 1 species
GACGAACGCUGGCGGCGUGCUUAACACAUGCAAGUCGAACGGAAAGGCCCUGCUUUUGUGGGGUGCUCGAGUGGCGAACGGGUGAGUAACACGUGAGCAACCUGCCCUUUACUUUGGGAUAACUUCAGGUAACUGGGGUUAAUACCGGAUAGCAUCUCCUCCUGGAUGGUGGGGGUUGGAAAGUUUCGGCGGUUGGGGAUGGACGCGCGGCUUAUCAGCUGGUUGGUGGGGUAGUGGCUUACCAAGGCUUUGACGGGUAGCCGGCCUGGGAGGGUGACCGGCGACAUGGGGCCUAGGAUAGGCCCCAGACUCCAACGGGGGACAGCGGGGGGAAGUAUGGCACAAUGGGCGGAAGCCGGUGGAGGAAACCCCCGGGGCGGAAUGCCGGCUUUCGGGUGGAAAACCGCUUCAGCCUGUGACGAAGCUGUAGUGACGGUACCGGGAGAAGAAGCACCGGCUAACUACGUG